rnacentral:rRNA from 1 species
UACGUAGGGUGCAAGCGUUGUCCGGAAUUAUUGGGCGUAAAGAGCUCGUAGGCGGCUUGUCACGUCGACUGUGAAAACCCGGGGCUCAACUCCGGGCCUGCAGUCGAUACGGGCUGGCUUGAGUGCGGUAGGGGAGACUGGAAUUCCCGGUGUAGCGGUGAAAUGCGCAGAUAUCGGGAAGAACACCGGUGGCGAAGGCGGCUCUCUGGGCCUGUCCUGACGUUUCAGGCGCGAAAGCUAGGGGAGCGAACAGG